rnacentral:rRNA from 1 species
AGACACGGGAGGCAGCAGUGGGGGAUAUUGCACAAUGGGGGAAACCCUGAUGCAGCGACGCCGCGUGGGCGAAGAAGCGCCUCGGCGCGUAAAGCCCUGUCAGCAGGGAAGAAAAUGACGGUACCUGAAGAAGAAGCCCCGGCUAACUACGUGCUAGCAGCCGCGGUAAUACGUAGGGGGCAAGCGUUAUCCGGAUUUACUGGGUGUAAAGGGGGCGCAGACGGCGAUGCAAGCCAGGAGUGAAAGCCCGGGGCCCAACCCCGGGACUGCUCUUGGAACUGCGUGGCUAGAGUGCAGGAGGGGCG